CCCUGACUCCUUGAGAGUCCUGAAGGAACGUUGAAGACGACGACGUUGAUAGGCCGGGUGUGUAAGCGCAGCGAUGCGUUGAGCUAACCGGUACUAAUGAACCGUGAGGCUUAACCUU
rnacentral:rRNA from 1 species